rnacentral:lncRNA from 1 species
ACUCGUAGACAUAAUCAUGAAGAGUAUUUUGCCAUUGCGGGGGAUAUUGAUGACUUUGUCUUGUUGUUGUUAUUUUUACAGUAAAGUCAAAUGUACAUGAUCUAUACAUGCAUCCUAGUAUGUGAGCUGUGGUUUAGUUAAGACCAUGUAUUUUUGUAGUAGCCUGGCUAUUUUAGCUUUUUACCCUGCAGAGUAUUAGUCCACAUGUUGUUGUUAGUGGAGUCUGAUCCUGUAUCAGGAUCAGAUAUUAAUCAAAGAUGGACGCUGCUCCAUAACUGGGUGCUUGUGCCAAUCUAGGUCUACUCCCUCAAUUCUGUGCCUUCUCAAUGUUUGCAUUUGUCAGAACUGAACUUGGUGCACAUUGAAACAAUUGCUUUUUAUAGUUAAAUAUAUUGCUCAGGAACAAAUAGCUGAAUUUAGCAUUUUUAAUUCACUCAUGAGUAAUCUGUUUAACCUUAGUAUAUUUCAUAAGCUAAAUACAUGCUAAAAAUGCUUAAAAUUGGGCAUUUCCAUUUUGAGCAAUAAAGGGCCCUAUCCAACAGUUUCAUUGGCAGGGUCUGCCAAUUUAGCUCAAACCUAGAAACCCUUUAAUCUGAUAAGCAUUCCUACCAAUACAUUCAUCUGUUAUAACAUGGUAUGGACUGUGUGUAAGCCAUCCAGCUGACCACAAGUAUUAACUAGGUUCUGAAAUCAAGAGUUGAGCAAAUAUUUCCAGCCUUAACAGCUCAUAGCCCACCUCCCUGCUUUCAGACUGUUGUACAAGGUUACAUGACCCAGAGCCAUCACGCUGAAUGUCAGAUAGUGAUAUAAAAUCAACAAAAUAGAUGAAAAGCCACAACAGACUGUAGAUGUUAUUUUGUCAGAUAGUAAAUAUAAGGACUAAAUUUUUUACUUCAGAAUGGUGUUUUACACAAGCCAUUUCUGGUCUUAAGUGCUAUGGAUAAUGCUUAUCAUCUUUCUUUAUAAAAAAGCUAUACUACACUAAAAAUAUUUCAGUGCAAAGCAAUUAGCAGAAACAGUCCAUCAUCAAUAUUUGCCUUUGCACUAACUUUAACACAGAGAUUCUCCCACCCAGGUAACCAAGAGUUCAGGGCAUUUACCAUGAUAGAAUGGAAAUAUGGUCACCUGUACCAUCAAGGGAUGAAACUGGAUAAGAUGAAACAUUUUAGAUUAUUUUGUUUACAAACUGAAGUGAGCAAAGCCCACAUCAUGCUCGAAAAUAUAACAAAAACAUAGUUUCAUGUUAUUUUUAUUUGUCUGGCUCUAUGAGGGGCAAGGGAGGUUGCCUUUGUUGAAAAUAGAAAUUACUAGUUCUGACAGAUAUUUUGUCUGCCUUGUGAGGCAGUUCUGAUGGACAUAGUUCUGAGCUGAACUGAUGAUGGUUGUAUUGUGGCAAAACUUAACUAUCCUCAGCAGAUUACCUUGUUUUGUCCGGACGCUUGUGUUUUCUCAAAUUUUGUCAGGACAAACAAAUUUCUGGAUAUCUGUAUUUCAGUAACCUCCCUUACCCAAAUUCUACAGAAGCUUAAAACCUAUUAUAUCAUGCCUUAAGAUCAGUAAUGUGAAUGUUGUUGAACUAAAAUAUUCUGUUAGUGUGUGUGGUCACUCACAAGUUUGUUGAACAGUAUUGAAUGAAAUUUUAAAUGAAAUUAACAAAACAAAUCAAAAAAGGCAGUCCAGUUAUAAAAUGAAUACUUUUAUAACCAGCAUGUGUAAUAUCAGGUUUAGUGAUCGCAGCGAUCUCAUAAUACCCGUACUUUAGAUGUUGGAUGUCAGGUGAUGAAUUAUUAAACAAAUGUAGUUGCUGGCCAGUAAGAGGGACACAAUUGUAUGUAUUUAGUACUGUUGGUAAUUGAAAUACAGUGUCCAUAUAUUAUAACAUUUCUGGAUAAAUGAAGCAUUUUUUGAAGAAUAUGUUGCAUUUCACUUAAAUAUCAUCCUAUCGGUGUCAUGUCCUUAUACCUGGGAUCCACAUAAGCUGGGUUCUACUGUAUACAACGGCUGUAACGAUUUGGUUCUAUUCAUCGAAAAUCGAAUCUGACACAUUAGUUUUGAUUUUCAAUAACCAUUAUCACUAUUUCUAUUCCAUAUUUGAAUACCUAUUUAAAUUAUAUCCACACAACCAGAACGUAAUUUUGAUUCCAACUCAAACAGAAACGAGCGCUGAAAUAAGGCGAAAUGUGAUUGGUUGACACCGGGCUAAUUAUCCAAUGAGAAUUUUUGUUAGAAGACAUUGCCAAUUUGAUGAUGGAUUUCACUCUAAAAAAGCAGACUCUGAGAGUUUAAUGAAAUCUGAUGUUUUUACUUGUAUGAAGAAUUGAAUUGAAAAUGAUCGAAUCGAGUGUCCAAUAUCGAAAAUCGAAUUGAGGUCUGGGUGAAUGGUUGCAGCCCUACUGAAUACAGACAUGGGUUUUCAAGAAGGCUGUUAGGACAUAAUCUCUUUGUCAGUAAUUAUCACUGUUUGUUGUUGCCAUUAAUUGUUGCCUCUUCCGUGUCUUCAAAUGUUGAUUCUAUUGUUACUUUCAUGAGAUGAAAAUGAAAAAAAGGAAAUCAUGACGUAUAUUUACAAUUUUUGUUAUCAGUUUGACAGUAUGUUUGAUUCUUGUUUCGUACUUUUUGUAUUUGAACUGUUCAUAUUUUUUCCAGUUCAGUUCUACAGUUGUAGUUCACCUGACCAUACUAGUCACUUAGCCUGCUUUUAUGUAUCUCACUGGAACAGAUUACUUCAGACACCCCAAACACCAGGUUAUCUCCCCUGACACCCACAACACCAGAUUAUCUCCCCUGACACCCAAAGCACCAGGUUAUCUCCCCUGACACCCCAAACACCAGGUUAUCUCCCCUGACACCCCAAAACACCAGGUUAUCUCCCCUGACACCCAAAGCACCAGGUUAUCUCCCCUGACACCCAAAACACCAGGUUAUCUCCCCUGACACCCCAAACACCAGGUUAUCUCCCCGGACACCGAAAACACCAAGUUAUCUCCAGGGAGACACCAAUACACCAGGUUAUCUCCAGGGAGACACCAAUACACCAGGUUAUGUCCCCUGACACCCAAUACACAAAGUUAUCUCACCUGACAUUCAAUUCACCAGGUUAUCUCCAGGGACACCCAAUACAACAGGUUAUCUCCAGGGACACCCAAUACACCAGGUUAUCUCCCCUGACACCCAAUACACCAGGUUAUCUCACCUGACA